UACGGAGGGUGCAAGCGUUGUUCGGAUUCACUGGGUAUAAAGGGUGCGCAGGCGGACCGAUAAGUCAGAGGUGAAAUCUGUCGGCUCAACCGGCAAAUUGCCUCUGAAACUGUCGGCCUUGAGUCCGAGAGAGGAAGGUGGAAUUCCUGGUGUAGCGGUGAAAUGCGUAAAUAUCAGGAGGAACACCAGUGGCGAAGGCGGCCUUCUGGCUCGGUACUGACGCUGAGGCACGAAAGCCAGGGGAGCGAACGGGAUUAGAUACCCGCGUA
rnacentral:rRNA from 1 species